GCGGGAGGCUGUCGCUCGGGUCCGGCUGCGGGCCACAGGCCGCGGAUCGCGCUCUGCCAGCGCCCCACGCCCGCAAGCGCGGCCCCUCCGCCACCUCGCGGCCCGGCCUGACCUGUUAAUCACGUCCCCACGGCUCUCCUAGCGGGGACACCGCCGUCUGCAGGCUCCGUCCCCACAGUGCCCAGACCCCGGGAAGUUUGUCAGUCAGCACCCUGAUGCCAGCCGAUUCUCAAAAAGCCAGGAGGAUCCAAGCAGAUGAUUUGCCAGACGGUACUGCAGCAAUGGAGAUGAACAGAUAAUUCACACAGAAAGAAGGACGAGUCUCGCUCUGUGGACAGGCUGGAGUGCAGUUGCAAGAUCUUGGCUCACUGCAACCUCUGCCUCCCGGGUUCAAGUGAUUCUUCUGCUUCAGCCUCCCGAGUAGUUGGGCCUACAGGCGUGCACCACCACGCCUAGCUAACUUUUGUAUUUUUAGUACAGACGGAAUUUUACUAUGUUGGCCAGGAUGGUCUUGAUCUCUUGACGUCGUGAUCCACCCCUCUCGGUCUCCCAAAGUGCUAGGAUUAUAGGCGUGAGCCACCGCACCCAGCCAACCUCUUUUUUUUUUUUUGAGACGAAGUCUCGCUCUGUUGCCCAGGCUGGAAUGCAGUGGUGCGAUCUCGGCUCACUGCAAGCUCCGCCUCCCAGGCUCAUGCCAUUCUCCUGCCUCAGCCU
rnacentral:lncRNA from 1 species